UAUCAACAUCAAGAGUCUUUAAGUAGACAGCAACAGAGUGACAACACCACUGUGCUACCAUGAUGGGCCUUUAAAAGGAAAAAUGUUGUAAUC
rnacentral:ncRNA from 2 species